rnacentral:rRNA from 1 species
ACUCAAAUGAAUUGACGGGGGUCCGCACAAGCGGUGGAACAUGUGGUUUAAUUCGACACUACGCGAGGAACCUUACCUAGGCUUGACAUGCAUAUGACCGCCCUAGAAACAGGGUUUUCUAAGCGAAAGCUUAGACAUUUGCACAGAUGCUGCAUGGCUGUCGUCAGCUCGUGUCGUGAGAUGUUGGGUUAAGUCCUUUAACGAGCGCAACUCCUGUUGUCAGUUGCAACCCCGUGAGGGGGCACUCUGAUGAGACUGCCUGGGAAACCAGGAGGAAGGUGGGAAUGACGUCAAGUCCUCAUGGCUCUUACGCCUAGGGCAACACACGUGUUACAAUGGCUGGUACAAAGGGCUGCAAUCUCGUAAGAAGGAGCUAAUCCUCAAAGCCAGUCUAAGUUCGGAUUGAGGUCUGCAACUCGACCUCAUGAAGUUGAAAUCGCUAGUAAUCGCAUAUCAGAACGAUGCGGUGAAUACGUUCUCGGACCUUGUACACACCGCCCGU